ensembl:snoRNA
UGAGCGAUGAGGAUGAAAACAUUUGACAGUUAUUAAACAUGGUGACUGUAUACGCUAUUCUGAGCCGAGA